GAGAAGAAUCCAGACCAUCAGCUAAGGUCCCCAAAUAACAGCUAAGUUGAAUUAACGAAGUCAGAUUGCAAAGACAGCUAGGAUGUUGGCUUGGAAGCAGCCAUUCAUUUAAAGAGUGCGUAACAGCUCACUAGUCGAGGAAUUUGGCGUGGAUAAUAAUCGGGCAUAAGCUGUUUACCGAAGCUAUGGAAUCAUUUAAUUAUGAUUGGUAGGGGAGCAUUCUGCUCGGCUUAGAAGGUAAGAGGUAACUCUUGCUGGAGCGUGCAGAAAAGCAAAUGUAGGUAUAAGUAACGAUAAAGGAGGUGAGAAACCUCCUCGCCGAAAGACUAAGGAUUCCUGAUCAACGUUAAUCGGAUCAGGGUAAGUCGGGACCUAAGGAUAAGCCGAACGGCGAUUCCGAUGGAAGAAUGGGUUAAUAUUCCCAUACUACUUUAUAGAGCGAUGUGGAGACGGAGAAGUGACAGUCCUGCUGCCUGACGGAAUAGGUAGUUGGAAGGUGUAGACGUUGAG
rnacentral:rRNA from 1 species